rnacentral:rRNA from 1 species
ACCCGCUGAACUUAAGCAUAUCAAUAAGCGGAGGAAAAGAAACCAACAGGGAUUGCCUCAGUAACGGCGAGUGAAGCGGCAAGAGCUCAAAUUUAAAAGCCGACGUAGCUUUAAGAGACGUCCGCAUUGUAAUUUGAAGAGGCAUUCUCGGGUCGGGGCUCAGGCCUAAGUUCCUUGGAAGAGGGCGUCGUGGAGGGUGAGAACCCCGUUCGCGGCCUGCUGUCGACCUUUCCCCGAUCCACACGAGGUGCCAUCGAAGAGUCGAGUUGUUUGGGAAUGCAGCUCAAAGCGGGUGGUAAAUUCCAUCUAAAGCUAAAUAUUGACGGGAGACCGAUAGCGAACAAGUAGAGUGAUCGAAAGAUGAAAAGCACUUUGGAAAGAGAGUUAAACAGCACGUGAAAUUGUUGAAAGGGAAGCGCUUGAGACCAGUCACGGACCGAGGCGAUCAGUGGGACGUCCCUCUCGGGGGAGGAACCGCGCACUCGCUUUUCGGGUUUUCCGGGUCAACAUCGGUUGGGACGGUGUCAGAAAGGUCGCGGGAACGUGGCUCCCUUCACGGGGAGUGUUAUAGCCCGUGGCGUCAAAGUCGCCAGUUUCGACCGAGGACCGCGCUCGUCUUUUUCAAGCAAGGAUGUUGACGUAAUGGUCCC